ACGCUCGACACCUACGAGAGGCAGCAGUGGGGAAUAUUGCACAAUGGGGGAAACCCUGAUGCAGCGACGCCGCGUGAAGGAUGAAGUAUUUCGGUAUGUAAACUUCUAUCAGCAGGGAAGAAAGUGACGGUACCUGACUAAGAAGCCCCGGCUAACUACGUGCCAGCAGCCGCGGUAAUCUGAGGCGGGCUGGCAAGGC
rnacentral:rRNA from 1 species